rnacentral:rRNA from 1 species
GAUGAACGCUGGCGGCGUGCCUAAUACAUGCAAGUCGAGCGAACGGACGAGAAGCUUGCUUUUCUGAUGUUAGCGGCGGACGGGUGAGUAACACGUGGAUAACCUACCUAUAAGACUGGGAUAACUUCGGGAAACCGGAGCUAAUACCGGAUAAUAUUUUGAACCGCAUGGUUCAAAAGUGAAAGACGGUCUUGCUGUCACUUAUAGAUGGAUCCGCGCUGCAUUAGCUAGUUGGUAAGGUAACGGCUUACCAAGGCAACGAUGCAUAGCCGACCUGAGAGGGGGAUCGGCCACACUGGAACUGAGACACGGUCCAGACUCCUACGGGAGGCAGCAGUAGGGAAUCUUCCGCAAUGGGCGAAAGCCUGACGGAGCAACGCCGCGUGAGUGAUGAAGGUCUUCGGAUCGUAAAACUCUGUUAUUAGGGAAGAACAUAUGUGUAAGUAACUGUGCACAUCUUGACGGUACCUAAUCAGAAAGCCACGGCUAGCUACGUG